AGAAAUCUUUAUUUUCAUAACAAAACAGUUAUGCUUAUUAAAACAAAGACUUUUUCUUUUCCUUUUCACCAAAUACUAAUAUUGAAAGGUGAAUAAUGCUUUUGAAGAGAAAGUAAAAUAUUUUAAUCAGGUUGUUACAGGUAAGAUUUUUACUUUAGAGAGAUUACCCUGGCAGUGGGCUGGAUGAAAGAUUAAAAAAUGAUUAAAACCUGCAAGAUGAGAAAUAGAUGACUAUUGUGAUUAUCUAAAGAGAAAAAAACAAAUUUCCAAUCUCUGACAUUGAUUGCAAGAAUAAAGAAAGGACAAACAGAUUUUAAUAAAACAUAACUCAGUCAUAGAUUGGAUGUGGGGCAUGAGAAAGAGUAGAAUUUUGAAUGACAAUCAAGUUUCUAAAUUGAGAGAUUAAUGUUAUCACUAAGACAAGGAACAGGAAUACCUUUGAUUUUCUUUUGUCCACUACACAUGUGUUUUUCCCCACUCUCAGACUCAUGAUGAAAUAUGAAAGGAGAUUUAGAUUCUGCCCAACUAGAACUCAUAUUCAAACUAAAAGUAGAAACUGAUCAAAGAGUUUGUUGUUUGGGAGCAAGAUUAAGAAGGAGGUAGGUAUGGUGAGAAAGGGAAUUUCUUAAAGUCAUCUUAUAAUAUUUAGUUUCUUUCCUACACAAGUAUUAACAUGAAUUUUUUUUUUUGAAACGGAGCCUCACUCCGUCGCCCAGGAUGGAGUGCAGUGGCGCAAUCUCAGCUCACUGCAACCUCUGCCUCCUGGGUACAAGCGAUUCUCUUGCCUCAGCCUCCUGAGUAUCUGGGACUACAGGUGUGUGCCACCACACCCGGCUAAUUUUGUAUUUUUAGUAAAGGCAGAGUUUCACUAUGUUGACCAGGCUGUUCUCGAACUCCUGACCUCGUGAUCCUCCUGCCUCGGCCUCCUGAAAAUUUUCAUAUAAAAUAAAAGAACAAAGGAAAAGUCUUUCUGUUUCAUUCAACCAUGACUUUAUUUAACAUCAUUGUAAUUAAAUACAUAUUAAAUUUUUAGACAAUGAAUAAGAAAUACAUUACCUAGAAGCAAGUUUGCUUGUGUCUGGAAAUUAUUUUAAAACAUGUCCAGGUUUACGUAGGAAUCUAUAGCCAAAGCAACUUUUGUGGCACAUACUUUAGGAUAGAUUUGAAGAUGUGUGACCAAGUAGAGAAUAAAUACUAUAUGGGAUAAAGUAGAUGUGCUAUUUUAUGUCCUGGAUCUGAGAAAACAAAUUAUGGAGGGGAAAGAAAAACACUUUCAAAUUUAUUGACGUAAUACACAUUUUCCAAGAGUUUGUUUCACUGAUGUUCCACAUUUCAAAGACUAAAUGCAAAAUGUUUUCUAAUGUAUAAAAUUCAUUUAACUGAUAUAAAUUUUUUCAUAUUAAUAUCUGUGCAAAAAUGCAGUAUACAUUAUUUUAUUUGUAGGGAGAUCUUCUCUGUUCAUUUUCAGGUAAUAAUGUCAAUAAUGCCCUAAUACCAGGGUUUUGUAUUAUUUUAUAUAUCAAUAUCGAUAUCAAUACAAAGGAUCUUGAUAUUAUUGACUCACUGGUUUAAUAGUUUCUAAAAAUAGGUAUUUCCAGAAAUGCACCUUAUUGCAUACACUAUACACAUUUGUGUGCAGGUCCACAUAUAGGCAUAUGUUGAUUAGAUAUAAUAACCAGAAACUACUUGCUUGAAGGCAAAAAUUUUUAUGUCAUCCCUUUCUUAAAACAGUUUUCUGAUACAACUUUGGGCUUCACUGACAACCUAGAGUUAUUCUUUUUUACACAACUGACUAACAAAAUGGUUUCAAGUUUAUUUAAUAUAUAACUGUAAGUAAUUCAGAGACUCCUGGGAUAAAGCAAGUGGAAUUCAGUGCAAAAGAAUAAUAUGGUAGAUUAUUAGCUUGUAAGUAACAAAAAUCAGGAUAUAUGCCUCUGAGUUAAAAAAAAUCAGUUUGAUGUCUGAUCACGAGGCAAUGACAUUGCUGGUUUCCACAGCAACCAAAUCCUGAGUAUUCUUCAUUCAUCUCUUUUCUACCAGAAUCCACCUCAUUACGGUAAAAAGAAAUUCAGUGUCACAUCAAUGAAAACUCUAAUAUUUAUAGAUCCAAAUACAUUUUUUCUGUCCAGGGUGACUAAGUAAAGAUGCUAAAAUCCAGCAUUGGCUUGAACAAGAAAAGUUAAUUUCAAAGUGAGAAGAACUGAAGCUUUCUUGAAUUUUACUUAUGUAUGCAGCAUUUAUUAUUUGAGCAUUCGAGAGAGAUGUUUUUUUCAUCUACUUUGACAGGCUCAGCUCUUUGGAGAGUUUAUUUUAUCUCCCCUAGUCAGAAGUUGAUUUCCGUGGCACUUCUGCCUCAAACUUAAAAGUCAAAAUACAAAAGAACUAGCACACUUAUUCUUGUCUAGCAAAGAUAAGAUUUAUUCUGUGUGGUGUAAAAACACCUGACAAACUAUCUACUUGAUACUGAAUUUGCAAAAUACUUUCAUACCACAUUUUUGAAUGGGAAAAUAUGAUAACAUAAUUGACUAUGAGUUGUGUUUCCUGUGAUUAUGUAUAAAAAUAUAUACAUUUUAGUAUAGCUAUAUUACACAAUUUGACAGCACUGCCGUUUUGAUUGAUCCAUUGAUGGAUUUUUUUAUCGCAAGUUGCAAAGUAAUUAUUUUAUUUUAGAAGCACAAUUCAAAUCUCUCUAGCUUUGUCAUAUACUAGUCACACAGUUCAAAUAUAUGGUUUUGGUGCACUUAUCUUGUACAGUGUAUCACAUUCUGUGCAUAUUCUAUUUCACUGGUGUAUUUCCAUAGGACUCUCUACAGUUUUUUGCAUAAACACUUAAAUAAUUCUUUUCUCUGGUUGUUGAUCUAAUAUCUUUAAUCCUCAGAAUACUGCAGGUUUCAUGCAGGAAACAAGUCUCCUGUUUUAUGCUGGAUCUCAGUACUCAACAUAGAGGAGUUCCGCAUGGCUGGGGAGGCCUCAGGUAAUUUACAAUCCUGGUGGAAGACAAAGGGGAAGCAGGUACCUUCUUCACAAGGUGACAGGAGAGAGAGAGCAAGAGAGAAAGAAAGUGCCACACUUUAAAACCAUCAGCUCUCCUGAGAACUCACUCACUAUUGCAAGAACAGCAUGGGAGAAACUGCCUCCAUGAUUCAAUCACCUCCCACCAGGUCCCUCCCUUGACACAUGGAGAUUACAAUUUGAGGUGAGAUUUGGGUGGAGACACAGAGCCCAAUCAUAUCAGAGACUAUUUAUUUAUUCAGUAUAAAACAUCAGCUAUGUAGCAGCAUUUUUCCAGUUACUUUGCUUACAGCAGUAAACAAACAAAUUCUCCAUUCUCAAGAUUACUUUUUAGUGGGAUUAAAUACCAUAAAUCUUAAAACUUUUUAAAGGAAAUAUACAGAACAAUUAGACUAGUAGAGAAUAAAAGGAAUGGGAGAUAUUUUAUAAAGGGUCAUCAAAAAAGCAUCACUGAUAAGAUACAAUUUGAGCAGAGAUCUCAGGAGGUAUAGCAUUGAAAUAGGCAGGCAUCUAAGGAAAAAGCCCAGAGAGAAAAAAUAACAAACAAUGAGGUCAAAGUAUGCUUAGCACGUUAAGGAAAUAGUGACAGAGUCCAAGAGCCUGUAUGACUUGUACAGAGUGAGGCAAGGGGAGAAUAUUAGGAUAUGAGAUCACAGAUAUAAUGGGGAAUCUAAUCAUCAAGGCCUUGUAGGUCGUGGUUGGAAAUUCAGGUUUUGACUCUGAGUGAGAUGAAAGCUGUUGGCUGGUUUUGAACAGAGGAGUGAUAUGUUCUGAUUGACAGUUUAAUAGGAUAAUUUUAGUGCUCUCUGGGAAGUAGGUUUUAUGAGGGCAAAGGUGGAAGGGAGACCAUCCAACACGCUAUUGUAAUAAUCCAGUUGAGAGAUUAUUGUGUUUGGGCUAGGGUGGUAGUAGACCAAAGGUGGAAAUGCGUUAGACUCUGGACAUAUUUUAAAGAUAAAAUGAAGAGUAUUUGCUCAUAGAUUGGAUGGGAGAUGUGAAGGAAAAAGUAGAGACAAG
rnacentral:lncRNA from 1 species